AGUUACAAUGGCGAUGGAGUUCGCCAAAACCGCCUUCACAGGCUGAUGACUCCUGCCAAUUA
rnacentral:ncRNA from 2 species